GGAUGUGAGGGCGAUCUGGCUGUGGCAUCUGGCACCCCAUUGAUCGCCAGGGUUGAUUAGGCUGAUCUGGCUGGCUAGGCGGGUGUCCCUGUCCUCCCUCUCUGAUCCAUGUGCGUCCCUCCCAAAGCUGCGCGCUUGGUCGAAGACGACGACCUUCCCCCCAGCGGAGAGGACCAGUCUUCGGUCAAGGGUAUACGAGUAGCUGCGCUCCGCUGCUAGAACCUCCAAACAAGUUCUCAAAAUGGCAUCUUCUAAUCAUCCUUAAUCCUUCUUUUUCCCUCCUACUCAG
rnacentral:snRNA from 1 species